rnacentral:lncRNA from 1 species
CACAUUUCAAUCAGCAAAUACUAGUUCCAUACUUUUCAAAACAUACCACAAACUUGACCAUUAUCAUACCAUUCCAAAUAUACCAUAUAAAACCCAAAUUCUGCCUGGGCCCGCACACACAAAUUAAACCAACCAAAAAUAAUAAUCAAAAAGACCAGUCCGUUUACAUUGGAGCCUGAAAAUUAAAAUAAACCCAUUUCAUCAAACCCACUAUUCAGCCCAAAACAAAUAAACCCAAUACACCCCGGCCCAAUAACCAAAAUUACAAAACCAGCCUAAUUAGGGCCCAAAACACUUAGCCCGAGCCUAACCCUAAAUCAGCAGGUUGCCUCCGUUCGGCUCUCCACGCGCGCCGCUUCCCCUACGCGAACCAGGCCUCCAUGCCAGCUGGCCAUCCACCUAAAAUAGAAACAAACAAGCAGCAGUGAAAGAAACCGAAUAACAGCAAAAAAGCAAGCAAUCGGAUUACAGCAAAGAAAAUAACAGAAUAAGAGGAUAGAUUUUUUUUUAUAUUUUUUUCAUUUUUCAUUUCUUUCUUUUUCUGUUAUUUCGGCUAUAUAAAGCCAAAUACAGCUCUGUAAAAGGGGUUACUGAAAUCGAAAAUACAAAAACAGAAAUCCAAAGCAACGAAAUCAGAAUGUUUUUUAAGGUGAUAGAAAAUCUUGUUUUCUUCUUUCGAGUAUUUUCUUUCUUUUUUUCUUUAAACUUUCCAUUUUUUUACUGAAUAUAGAUAGAAAAGAGAAGCAAAAUAUAAAAAGGGGGAUUUACCUUCAUAAAAAUGCCGUCCAAACCUCGUUUAUUCCGUUCAAAUCGGUUUAGAUGAGGGAUUUUAGAGUUGAAGCGGCGAAAAUGGAGGAGAGAUUU